rnacentral:lncRNA from 1 species
UGGGUUUCGAUCAGAGCAGGGGGAACCGGGGAAGAACAAGCAAACCCUUGUUUGCAAAAUUCCAGCAAUAUACUUGAAAUCUCAAGGAGAAUCUAAUGCAUGAGCCUCUAUUUUCGAGUAUCUAACCCUAAUUAGUGAAGUGGUAAGUUUUAUUUUCUGAAAUUAUGAUUUGUAGGAUGAGGGUUACAACCCAAUCUCGAAUUCUUGUAACAAAUGUGGUAAAACUGAGUUAGGAUUACCUUUUUGAACAAGAAUCAAGUUUGAUUUCAGGUUAUUUGAAAGAGAAUUGUAUAAACCCACUUGAUGAGAAAUUAGCAUGAAAGAAUGAUCAUGCGGAGGUAGAUAUGUGUAAUCUUGAUAUAUGGUCUUGUUUGUAAUACCUGAAUGCUAAAUAAAUUGAUGUAGAAUAAAAGAAUUGUAUGAACUUGAUUGAUUCUCAAUGAUAUAUAAGAUGAACUAGUAAAGUCAUGCUAUGAAUACUUGUACAUUAUGCUUUAUUAAUGUGACGCACACCAAGUGUUUGAUAAAAUGCUUAAGAGAAUAAAUGUGUGAAAUUCUGAAAAUUAGUGAUAAUGUUUGUCACUUGAAAAUGAGAAAUUUAUGUAAAUGAUGGAAUGAAAGUGUUGGGCUAAAUGAAUGAAUGCGUUUAAUGUAGGCGUGAAAGAAGAAGGCUCAAACACUAAGAAAACGGGAGACUCACAGGAUCGAGUCUCAUUUUGAAUUGUGUUGUUAUGUUAAAAUUGUGAGAUUUGAAAUCUAUGGUUCUUCGAAAGCAAAAGUAAGAUCCGUCAUAAACGGAUUGUGAGGAAUGAAUAAGUUAUGAAAGACAAUGCAUCAUAUCCGGUUCUUUUAGUUGAACCGGGUAUGGGAAAUUAAGUAUGUGAUGAAUGAAAGUCUACUCGAUCCGUCCUUCUCGGAUCGGAGUAUGAGGAAAGAAUGUAAAGAAUACGUUUGUUCGUCAUGAACGAAUCGAAUGGAAGUUAUGUAAUGUUACUAGUAUCCGUUCUUAGCGGGUAUGUUGAGAAAAGAAUGCUUAGUCUCUACCUUGAGGCAAGCAUGUAAUGAACCGUUUAACGGUUAGUUAAGUAAUUGAAUGAUAUAAUACCGUGAAAGAGACGAAUCGGUUUAUUAUUUAGAUGUGUUAGUGACGAAAUACUAAAUUAUUUGUUUAUGUUGAAUGUAGGUAAAUCCUCAAGCUAGGCGGUCGGACGAUUUGGAAUGAGCACACUUGAUCUACGCCCACUACACGCUUCCGUCAUAAGUGAAUAUAAUGUGGUCUAAACUUUUGGUCUUAUGUACUUUAACUUGUGUAGUAUUUUGAUGUCUUUAUGGUUUGGUUAAAAACUUAUUAGUGGUAGUCUUGUUGUAAACAACUUAAACGUAUGGUUUUGGGUUUUUGUCAAGGAUGUUUUAUGUAGAAAUGGUUUAUCGUAUAAAACAGGUGUUAGUG